GGAAAAAAAAAAGAAAACCACUUCCCCCAAGUCCAACUACAUACUAUUUGUCAAAUGGCGAUCCGCCCAAAUCUUUGCCCGUUCGCAGUGCAGCUAUUUUGAAGCAGCAACCUUCUAUCCUCGAUUCACAUAAAGGAAGCAAAAUCCCAAACUGUCGAAAUGGAUCCGGCGGCAGCACGUACAGCACGUGAUUCUCUAGAGCUGGUAUUUCAUAUGUCAAAUAUUCUGGACACAGGCCUCGAUCGUCACACUCUUUCUGUUCUGAUUUCCCUCUGCGAUUUGGGUUUUAACCCUGAGGCAUUGGCUGCUGUUAUUAAGGAGCUUCGUCAAGAAAACCCGUCUUCUUCUUCUGAGCAAAGGACGCUGGCUCCAUAAUUGCCUUAGCCAGGCUUAUUUGGAUAUGCUCUUCUGUUUUUACUGACUGUAUGUUCUUGUAAGGGAAGAGAUAUAUUGAAGUAAUGAACUGUGAACUGAAGCAACUCCUGAAGUGACAUUGAGUCAUAGUUCAAGUAUUGUCUCAUUUUGAGGAUCACUGUAAACUGUAAAGUACUUUUGACUUCUCAUAUCUAGAUCAGUUCCACUUAAUCUUGCACUCUCUUGAUUACCAUGUAGACUUUGAACUAGCGUGACUGAUGCAUGAUCUUGUGUACACAAAGGCAUUCUUGCAGAGUCUGAUAUCACAUUUACAAAAUCUUGUAUCAAAUUGGUGUCACUGAAAACAUAUGAAUGAUUUUGAGGUAUGAUCUUGUUUGUCUUCUCAAUCGACGUCACCCAGCUUAAUAUGAUUUUUUUCUGACCAAAAGUACUUCCUCCUCCUGUGGGUUCCUAUAAACAGCUAGCUCAUGUUAUCGCGCAAAAAAGCAAAUUGACAUAAAAUAAGAACCAUUAUACAUGAUCUAUCUGCUAAAGAUAUUUGUCUCCUAAGCGCGUAUCCUUUCCUUCUAUUGUAACAUUAGUUCCUCAUCAGACGUAGCUAUCUAUCUAAAAGCUACGGAAAUGAAAUGAACUGAUAGUAUGCAUUAUAAUAUGUGAGCUUGCGUUAUUUGUAAUUACAUCUAUGGGCGUGCAAGAGAAAUGCACAGAAGUGCCUUUGGUCUCUCUCUCAUACCCACACACACACAAAAAAAUAAAAAAAUAAAUUCCAAUCUACAUAAUAGGCCGUCUACAAUGUUUAAACAGUAAGAAUUGCUCAAUGGCCAAAUAAUUUAGUGUCUCAGUUUUGUCAUUCUUGGUUUACAUGGGAAAUAACACACCUCACUGCAACAUAAGAACUUGGCAUCAGUUUUUUAAUUGAACCAGUUGGAAGAUUAUAAAAUACCCAAUUCCCCAUAACAAAUUUCGGUCUUAGAAAUAUGAUGUGUUGCUCUGGAGCUUGGAGAAAUGGUGAGGCAGGAGCUGGUAUCAUCAAUCAUCAUCCCUGAUCAUUAUUGAGA